CUCCCUCAUGUUCUCGCUCCCUCACUCUCGCUCCCUCGCUCGCUCUCGCUUGCUCUCGCUCUCCCUCUCUCUCUCUCACUCGCUCUCCCUCUCUCUCACUCGUGCUCUCGCUCCCUCGCUGUCACUCGCUCUCCGUCACUGUCUCUCGCUCUCCCUCGCUUGCGCUCUCGCUCCCUCGCUCUCUCUCGCUCGUGCACUUGCUCCCUCGCGCGCUCUCUCGCUUGCUCUUGCUCUUUCUUGCUCUCUCCCUUGCCCUCCCUUGCCUUCUCGCGCUCACUCGCCCUCUCGCGCUCACCCUCAUGCUUGUCAUAUUGCACGCACUCACCCUCUCGCGCUCUCCCGCUCACGCUCGCUCUCCCUCUCGAUCUCCCUUUCGUGCUCGUGCUCACUCACCCUCUUGCUCUCCUGCUCGCUCAUGCUCACUUGCUCUCCCGCUCGCUCACUCUCCUGCUCGCCCUCUCACUCACCCGCUGUCUUGCCCUCUUGUGCUCACUCUCACUCACUCUCUCGUUCUCUUGCUCGCUCGUCCUCUUGUGCUCUCUCUCUCGCUUGCUCUCACUCGCUCCCUCUCGCUCACCCUCUCGUGCUUGCUCUCACUUGCUCUCUCACUCCCUCGCCCUCUCGUGCUCACUCUCUCGCCCUCUUGCUCCCUCGCCCUCUCUUGUGCUCUCUCUCACCCGCUCUCACCCUCUUUCACUCGCUCUCUUUCUUGCUCUCGUUUUCCCUCUCAUUCGCUCUCCCUCUCCCUCACUCUCGCUCACCUAAUAAAGAUUGCUGGUUCAGUACUACUUAUAUGCAUCUAUCUUUUGAUGUUUAUUAUAGCUUUCUAUACAUUAAAAGAACAAUGAAGCUGAUAUUUGUCAUAACAUGUUUCCAUAUAUACUGGUAUAGGGAGAAAGGGGUUGUGUCAUAGAAGUCUGCUAUGAUGGCAGAUACUGGUAAGAAUUGAUACUUGUAUAAUUUUUAAAUGUACUGAAACAAACCAAUGACAAUUUGAGUCUAAAUUCCUAAACACACUAAAAU
rnacentral:lncRNA from 1 species